rnacentral:rRNA from 1 species
GCGCGCAAAUUACCCAAUCCCGAUUCGGGGAGGUAGUGACAAUAAAUAACAAUAUAGGGCUCUUUCGGGUCUUAUAAUUGGAAUGAGUACAAUUUAAAUCUCUUAACGAGGAACAAUUGGAGGGCAAGUCUGGUGCCAGCAGCCGCGGUAAUUCCAGCUCCAAUAGCGUAUAUUAAAGUUGUUGCAGUUAAAAAGCUCGUAGUUGAACUUUGGGCGUGGACGGGCGGUCCGCCGCAAGGCGUUGUACUGUCUGGCCGGGCCUUUCCUCUUGGUGAAUCGGCGUGCCCUUCACUGGGUGCGUCGGGGAACCAGGACGUUUACCUUGAGAAAAUUAGAGUGUUCAAAGCAGGCGUUUCGCCCGAAUACAUUAGCAUGGAAUAAUGAAAUAGGACGUGCGGUUCUAUUUUGUUGGUUUCUAGAGUCGCCGUAAUGAUUAAUAGGGACAGUUGGGGGCAUUAGUAUUCAGUCGCUAGAGGUGAAAUUCUUGGAUUGACUGAAGACUAACUACUGCGAAAGCAUUUGCCAAGGAUGUUUUCAUUAAUCAAGAACGAAGGUUAGGGGAUCGAAAACGAUCAGAUACCGUUGUAGUCUUAACAGUAAACUAUGCCGACUAGGGAUCGGGCGACCUCUUUUUGAUGUGUCGCUCGGCACCUUACGAGAAAUCAAAGUCUUUGGGCUCUGGGGGGAGUAUGGUCGCAAGGCUGAAACUCAAAGGAAUUGACGG